ACGAACGCUGGCGGCGUGCUUAACACAUGCAAGUCGAACGGAAAGGCCCUGCUUUUGUGGGGUGCUCGCGUGGCGAACGGGUGAGUAACACGUGAGUAACCUGCCCUUGACUUUGGGAUAACUUCAGGAAACCGGGGCUAAUACCGGAUAGGAGCUCCUGCUGCAUGGUGGGGGUUGGAAAGUUUCGGCGGUUGGGGAUGGACUCGCGGCUUAUCAGCUUGUUGGUGGGGUAGUGGCUUACCAAGGCUUUGACGGGUAGCCGGCCUGAGAGGGUGACCGGCCACAUUGGGACUGAGAUACGGCCCAGACUCCUACGGGAGGCAGCAGUGGGGAAUAUUGCACAAUGGGCGGAAGCCUGAUGCAGCAACGCCGCGUGCGGGAUGACGGCCUUCGGGUUGUAAACCGCUUUCGCCUGUGACGAAGCGUGAGUGACGGUAAUGGGUAAAGAAGCACCGGCUAACUACGUG
rnacentral:rRNA from 1 species